rnacentral:tRNA from 1 species
UGGCGGAGAGGGCGGGAGUCGAACCCGCGAUACCGAUUUUGUCGGUAUACGCGCUUUCCAAGCGCGCUCAUUCGGCCUCUCUGACACCUCUCC